rnacentral:rRNA from 1 species
CGGGAACUGUGAGACAGGUGCUGCAUGGCUGUCGUCAGCUCGUGUUGUGAAAUGUUGGGUUAAGUCCCGCAACGAGCGCAACCCUUAUCCUUUGUUGCCAGCGGUUCGGCCGGGAACUCAAAGGAGACUGCCAGUGAUAAACUGGAGGAAGGUGGGGAUGACGUCAAGUCAUCAUGGCCCUUACGACCAGGGCUACACACGUGCUACAAUGGCGCAUACAAAGAGAAGCGACCUCGCGAGAGCAAGCGGACCUCAUAAAGUGCGUCGUAGUCCGGAUUGGAGUCUGCAACUCGACUCCAUGAAGUCGGAAUCGCUAGUAAUCGUGGAUCAGAAUGCCACGGUGAAUACGUUCCCGGGCCUUGUACACACCGCCCGUCACACCAUGGGAGUGGGUUGCAAAAGAAGUAGGUAGCUUAACCUUCGGGAGGGCGCUUACCACUUUGUGAUUCAUGACUGGGGUGAAGUCGUAACAAGGUAACCGUAGGGGAACCUGC